GCGGAGGAAAAGAAACCAACAGGGAUUGCCUCAGUAACGGCGAGUGAAGCGGCAACAGCUCAAAUUUGAAAUCUGGCCCUAGGCCCGAGUUGUAAUUUGCAGAGGAUGCUUUUGGUGAGGUGCCUUCCAAGUUCCCUAGAACGGGACGCCAGAGAGGGUGAGAGCCCCGUACAGUUGGACACCGAGCCUUUGUAAAGCUCCUUCGACGAGUCGAGUAGUUUGGGAAUGCUGCUCAAAAUGGGAGGUAUAUUUCUUCUAAAGCUAAAUACCGGCCAGAGACCGAUAGCGCACAAGUAGAGUGAUCGAAAGAUGAAAAGCACUUUGAAAAGAGGGUUAAACAGCACGUGAAAUUGUUAAAAGGGAAGCGCUUGUGACCAGACUUGCGUCCGGUGAAUCACCCAGCUCUCGCGGCUGGGGCACUUCGCCGGCUCAGGCCAGCAUCAGCUCGCUGUCGGGGACAAAAGCUUCAGGAACGUAGCUCUCUUCGGGGAGUGUUAUAGCCUGUUGCAUAAUACCCUUCGGCGGGCUGAGGUACGCGCUCCGCAAGGAUGCUGGCAUAAUGGUCAUCAGCGACCCGUCUUGAAACACGGACCAAGGAGUCAACCUUAUGUGCGAGUGUUCGGGUGUCAAACCCCUACGCGUAAUGAAAGUGAACGCAGGUGAGAGCUUCGGCGCAUCAUCGACCGAUCCUGAUGUUCUCGGAUGGAUUUGAGUAAGAGCAUAUAGGGUUGGACCCGAAAGAAGGUGAACUAUGCGUGUGUAGGGUGAAGCCAGAGGAAACUCUGGUGGAGGCUCGCAGCGGUUCUGACGUGCAAAUCGAUCGUCCAACAUGCGCAUGGGGGCGAAAGACUAAUCGAAUCUUCUAGUAGCUGGUUGCGCG
rnacentral:sRNA from 1 species